GGCCAGGACAUGGAAGGGUUGGGAGGCCUGAAUAAUUUCAUGGGGCUCUGAGGCGUAGGAGCUGUCUGGUAUCUGGUCCUGGAGGGAUAAGGGCAGAAGAAUAUUAGUUCAACUUGUAAGAGCUCAAUAAAGGAGGUAGUUAGUGAAUUUGGGUUCUGGAUUGGUUGAUUUGCAUAUAAAUGGCAGCUCACAGGGGAGGCAAUUGCUAUCUCUAGGAAUCAGCUAGCCCUGGGAGGGGCAGCGUCUCCAGGGUCAGCAAUGCCCCAGAUGCCAGAGCAUCAAGAAAGAAUACAGAAAAUAAGAUCAUUUCCCACAGAAUAUAUGUAUCAAAACAUCACACACUGUACACCAUAAAAACAAAGGAAAAGCAGCACAGGAAGCUAUAAGGUUGUGUAAUAAGGGUGCUUGAGAGUUAAACUAGACUGGCUAAGAAAGUUUUCCCUGAGGGAGGCAUAUUUGACUUGAAAUCUUGUAUUCUUGGGCAGGUGUUACACAAGUAAAGUGAGCUGGGGAGGUAUUUCUGGAAAUACCAGUCCAAGGUAGAAGGAACCAUAGCGCAUUGAGACAAUUGAAUAUGGUUGAAACACAGAGAGACAGGAGCUAAAUAUGUUUUUUAGCUCUAUUUUUAGCUCUAUUUUUCUUCACUUGGCUGGUUUUCUGAAUGCUCCAAACAAGGGAUUUGAGAGUUCCUACUCCAAUCACUGAUACUUGAUGGUUUAUGUAAGUUAUUGUAAUAAAAACAUAUAAAUGACAUUAACUUAAAUGAAACACUGACUCAAAUUACUCAAAUUCCAAUCACUGGCUCUUGAUGGUUUAUGUAAGUUACUGUAAUAAAAACACAUGGAUGGCAUUAACUUAAAUGAAACACAGACUCAAAUUACAGUGAUGUGUUGGUUAACAACAAAGAUACGUUCUGAGAAAUGACAUAUUAGACGAUUUAGUCAUUGUGUGAAUGUCAUAGAGUGUACUUACACAAACCUAGAUGGUACAGGCUACUUAAUACAACGGUAAAUAUUUGUAUGUCUAAACAUAGAAAAGAUACAGUAAAAAUACAACAUUAUAAUCUCCUGGGGCCACUGUUGUUUAAAUGAUCCCUCAUCGACUGAAAUAUUGUUAUAUGGCAGACGACUAUACAUGGAACUCCUAACUUAUACACAUCAUCCCUCUAAAAAGCCAUUUUUCCCUAAUUGCUUCUCCCCAUCCAUUAAAUUUUAAUACUACAUAUGUAUAGUAUGUCUGUUUAUGUAUUGUACAUAUCUGUGCUUUGCACAUAAAAAGAGUGAGAAUUCUCACAUAGGUCUGAGAUUUAAAAAAAUAAAAUAAAACAAGUAAGGUUUUUUUGCCUCCCCUCAAGAUCCAGUUUUUACUUCUUGGAGGGGAUAUUACCCA
rnacentral:lncRNA from 1 species